rnacentral:rRNA from 1 species
GCUAAACAGCUAGCUUAAUAAACAAAAAUAACUAAUACAACAUUAAAACAUUUUACAAAAAAAUAAAAUAUUAAAUUAAAACAUUUUACCGCCCUAGUAUGGGAGACAAAAAAGGCACCACCAAAGCCAUAACAAAAGUACCGCAAGGGAACGCUGAAAAAGAAGUGAAACAAAUUAUUAAAGCAUAAAAAAGCAGAGACCAACCCUCGUACCUUUUGCAUCAUGAUUUAGCCAGCACCACCAAGCAAAGAGUACUUUAGUUUGAAACCCCGAAACUAAGUGAGCUACCCCGGGACAGCCUAUUAUUUAGGGCCAACCCGUCUCUGUGGCAAAAGAGUGGGAAGAUCCCCGGGUAGAGGUGACAAACCUACCGAACUUAGUUAUAGCUGGUUGCCUAUGAAAUGAAUACAAGUUCAGCUUCGUAUUCCUUAGCUCACGUGUAAAAUAAGAGCCAAAGAAAUAUACGAAAGUUAAUUAAAGAAGGUACAGCUUCUCUAAUACAGGAUACAACCUAACCAGGAGGUUAAAGAUUAUAUUAAACAAGAUAAACCGCUCUAGUGGGCCUAAAAGCAGCCACCUAGACAGAAAGCGUUAAAGCUCAGGCGAACUCACAAUCAUUUAUUUAAAUAUUAAAUCUAAAACCCCUAACUUUACUAGGCCGCCCUAUGUUAACAUAGAAAAGAUAAUGCUAAAAUGAGUAAUAAGAAAGAACACCUUUCUCCUAGCCCACGUGUAUGCCAGAUCGGAUAAACCACUAGCAACUACCGAACCCAAUUAAUGAGGGCAAUGUGUUAAUAUUAAAUAACAAGAAGUGGCCACAUAACCACAUCGUUAACCCCACACCGGAAGGCUUUAUUAGGAAAGACUAAAAGAAAAGGAAGGAACUCGGCAAACGAAAGCCUCGCCUGUUUACCAAAAACAUCGCCUCCUGCAAAAAUCAAUAUAUAGGAGGUCUUACCUGCCCAGUGACAUGUUUAACGGCCGCGGUAUUUUGACCGUGCGAAGGUAGCGCAAUCACUUGUCUUUUAAAUGAAGACCUGUAUGAAUGGUGGAACGAGGGCUUAACUGUCUCCCUUUUCAAGUCAAUGAAAUUGAUCUGCCCGUGCAGAAGCGGACAUAUAAGUACAAGACGAGAAGACCCUUUGGAGCUUUAGAUAAAAGAUCACCUAUGUCAAGAACUAAAGUUAAACAAAAUAGAAGCUGAUCCUAAUCUUUUGUUGGGGCGACCGCGGGAAAAAAUAAAGCUCCCACGAGGACUGGGAAAAUACCCUAAAACUAAGAAAGACAUUUCUAAGUCACAGAAUAUCUGACCAUAGAGAUCCGGCAACCUGCCGACCAACGAACCAAGUUACCCUAGGGAUAACAGCGCAAUCCUCUUCCAGAGCCCAUAUCGACAAGAGGGUUUACGACCUCGAUGUUGGAUCAGGACAUCCUAAUGGUGCAGCCGCUAUUAAGGGUUCGUUUGUUCAACGAUUAAAGUCCUACGUGAUCUGAGUUCAGACCGGAGUAAUCCAGGUCAGUUUCUAUCUGUAAUUGCUACUCUUCCCAGUACGAAAGGACCGGAAAAGAUGGGCCAAUAUUACAAAUAUGCCCCACCCCAACUUAAUGACAUCAACUAAAUUAAACAAAGGGAGAGCAUAA